GGUUCAAUGGUGUAGUGGUUAGCACAUUUGCCUUACACACAGGAGAUCCUGGGUUCAAUUCCCAGUGGAACCA